rnacentral:rRNA from 1 species
UACGAGGGGGGCAAAUGUUGUUCGGAAUCACUGGGCGUAAAGGGAGCGUAGGCGGGGUCUUAAGUAAAGUGUUUAAUCCCGGGGCCCAACCCCGGACCGGCAUUUUAAACUGGGACUCUUGAAUAGUGGAGAGGUCGGUGGAAUUGGGGGUGUAGCGGUGGAAUGCGUAGAGAUCCCCAAGAACACCAGUUGCGAAGGCGGCCGACUGGACACAUAUUGACGCUGAGGCUCGAAAGCAUGGGGAGCAAACAGG